CAUGCAUGUCCUGAACAUGAGUAAUAACGACAUAUGACACCAUGCCAUUUACUUUAAAUAUCACGAUAAAAAGUAUCAUAUUUCAAUAUUCGUCAAAGUCGACUAGAAAUCAUUUCACUUGAAAUCUUUCAUUUCACUGGGCCCUUGACCCACCUACUAUGCACCGGAUAGAGCUCCGCAUAAUAUCAAUAUCAAUAAUCAAAUGGCCAGUAUGAAAUCAACACCGACAAGUGGACCAUCCUCUCGUGACCACUAGAGGCCCAUCCCCUGACUACCCCUAUGAUCACCCAAGAAGUCUCCCACCGGCAGUGCCAAUAAUCAUAAUAUCACAAGGGCAUAGUCGAGUGGUCCGCCCUCCCGUGAUCACCAAAGGCCCAUCCCCUAUCUACCUUUGCAAUCACCCAGGAAGUAACACCCGCAAUGCCAAACAUAUCACAUAAGCAUGCCUCGGUGCCCUAGUAGUGUCAAUAAAACAUUUAUAAUGAAACUCACUUUGAAAUCAUAUUUUGCAUGCAGGGUUUUCAACCAUGUUAUAUGUCGUGCAUGCAUAUGAAAAUACUCAUAAAUGACGUAUUUAAUAAAAAUCGGUGUCAAUAGGUUACGCAACCUCAUACUCAAUGAUCGUAACCACCAUAUGAUGUGUUAAAGCCUCUUAUCAAAGUUAUGUAGAUAUUUCAACAUUACUAUGUCACAUAUACUAGGUUCUUGCAUCGUAG
rnacentral:lncRNA from 1 species